rnacentral:rRNA from 1 species
AGUCAAUAGAUACCCCGGUACGUCCACGCCGUAAACGAUGAGUACUAGGUGUAGGAGGUAUCGACUCCUUCUGUGCCGCAGUUAAACACAAUAAGUACUCCGCCUGGGAAGUACGGUCGCAAGAUUAAAACUCAAAGGAAUUGACGGGGGCCCGCACAAGCAGCGGAGCAUGUGGUUUAAUUCGAAGCAACGCGAAGAACCUUACCUAGACUUGACAUCUCCUGAAUAGUGUAGAGAUACAUGAAGCCCUUCGGGGCAGGAAGACAGGUGGUGCAUGGAUGUCGUCAGCUCGUGUCGUGAGAUGUUGGGUUAAGUCCCGCAACGAGCGCAACCCUUAUUACUAGUUGCUACCAUUAAGUUGAGCACUCUAGUGAGACUGCCCGGGGUUAA